GUGUUUUCUGCUGUUAAAAUGGGCCUGUGUCCCACAGGUGACCCGUCUGCAGUACCUCAACACUGUGAUGGCGUCGCGGGUGGCCCAGAGCCCCGAGCCGCCUGAAAUCAAGAUCCUGCCCAACAGUCAAACCAAACUCCUGAACGAGAAAAACACUACUCAAGACAGGAUUUAAAUGUCCAGGUGCGCUCAAGAGCCAGGAAUCCAGGCCAGACGAGGAGCUUCACAGCCAGAGAGGAGCGUUUUGACCUUCUAUCUAACCUUCCUGCAGAACUCACAAGGAUUUUAUUAUGACAACUAAUUUGUUUUUGUCGUCUUCAAUGAAUCUUUUACUCCUGGAAUGCAGC